rnacentral:lncRNA from 1 species
GCAUCUCCCUAUUUCCUCCACCCCAGAACCUCUGGUAACCACUCAUAUUUUCUGUUUGUAUGAGUUCCACUUUUACAGAUUCUACACAGACGUGAUAUCAUACAGUAUUUGUCUUUCUGUGUCUCAUUUAUUUCACUUAGCAUAAUUUCUUCCAGGUUCAUCUGUGUUGUCACAAAUAGCAUGAUUUUUUUAACUAAAUAAUUUUAUAUUUUCUUUUUCAUUUUAUAUUUCCUUUACCCAUUCACUUGUGGAUUAACAUGUAGGUUGAUGCCACAUCUUGGGAAUUGUCCACCAUGCUGCAAUGAACAUGGAAGCACAGAAGUUUGCUUGACAUCGUGAUUACAUUCCUUUGACUAUAACCCAGAAGUGGGGUUGUUGAAUGAUAUGGAAGCUACCCUGGUCACUCGGAUUCACUGUAUUUAAUUCCUCCAGCCCGAAGUCCCAAAUUUUCUGUUCACUAACCUGGGUUACUUUCACUUUGAGUCUGUGUCAAAUGCGAACUGGAAAAGAGGUAAUAAUCUAAAUAUUCAAGCCAAACACUCACUGUUUUUCAACCAGCUUUGAAAUUUUAGACUUAAUAAUUUGACAUUUUUGAAUUAUAUUAAAAUAGAUAAUGAGCUUUACAGUAUUCUUUGUGUCUAAAUACAGACUUUGUAUGAAAGAGUCCCUGGUGAAGGAAACAAAGAUUUCUUGCAUAACAUAUAAUUGAUUUCAGGAUAUUUUUGGAGAAUAUUUUCAAAGUAAUGCACUUAGUAGCAAAUUAAAUAUUGGACAUAUUUAAUUUUGAGUGCACCUUGAAGUUUUCAGCAAAACCUGUAUCCUCUUAACCUUCUGUCUAAUUAUCCACACAUAGAGUGUUAUUAUUGACAUCUAAAAUAAAGCAGUCAAACAUUUAGGAAUAUCAUCCCAUUUAAUAAUAUCAUCUCAUCCUGUGUGUAUGCCUAAGAAGCAGCUUUCCAGCUAUAAAUAAAUAUAGUAAAAAACACAAAACACCUAACUCGAAGCAAAAGUACUAAAUGAAAUUCUAAACAAUGAUUUCAUGUUUAUUCAUAUCUGCUGCUACUACUCUAAAUGGCUUAAGUAGCCUUUAAAAAUGCAGUGUCCUCUAAGAAUGUUCAUGCUGGAGCAGCCUGUUUCUUCUUACUAGCAGCCAUAUAUGCUGCACGCUCACACCUUGCAGAAAAGCUGUGGCUUCAAACACAUAUGAAUUAUUGCUAGUUACCUAAUGAACUGAAUAAUGUGAUUAGUGUUGAUAAG